ACGAGUGGCGGACGGGUGAGUAAUGUCUGGGAAACUGCCUGAUGGAGGGGGAUAACUACUGGAAACGGUAGCUAAUACCGCAUAACGUCGCAAGACCAAAGAGGGGGACCUUCGGGCCUCUUGCCAUCGGAUGUGCCCAGAUGGGAUUAGCUAGUAGGUGGGGUAACGGCUCACCUAGGCGACGAUCCCUAGCUGGUCUGAGAGGAUGACCAGCCACACUGGAACUGAGACACGGUCCAGACUCCUACGGGAGGCAGCAGUGGGGAAUAUUGCACAAUGGGCGCAAGCCUGAUGCAGCCAUGCCGCGUGUAUGAAGAAGGCCUUCGGGUUGUAAAGUACUUUCAGCGGGGAGGAA
rnacentral:rRNA from 2 species